rnacentral:ncRNA from 2 species
CACCUUUGUGCCCGUAUUGGUGAUAUUACCCUCCAUCCUGAGGGAAUAUAAAAGGGAAUCCGGUGUGAAUCCGGAGCAGUACCCGCUACUGUAAAUUCCCUGCUCUAUUUGAGCAGCAGCUAUAGGAAAUCACCGCUUUGCCACUGUUGUUGAGGCUUGGCUUUGAUGACGGGAAGGUUCUUUCCUUAGGAACAAGUCAGGAAACCUGCCAGUACGUUUAUAGUGAG